rnacentral:lncRNA from 1 species
AAUGGUAGAAUUUAUCAAAGAAGUAUAAAAAAUAGUGGCUUAUCUUAUGGCAAAUGUCAAUAAUUCGAAUUUAUUUAUCUUCCAUGAAUGAGAUAUAAUAGCAUAAAAUAAUUAUGUCAUGGACAUAUAUAUUCAUCUAGAUAAGAAGUAUUAGGUAGAAGGUAAAUGUAGGUAGAUUUGAUAUUAUUUUGUAGCAUUGCUUCUUAUAAGCUUCAUAGAUGCGUAUUUGACUUUAUACAUGUUUAUAGUUGAUUGGUAGGUUAGAAACUUGGCGAACAAAUUAGCCAUGUAUUGCACAUUCUCAUAUUACAUGUAUUCUUAGUUAAGAAUGCACUGGGCAUCUAAUUGUGGAAGAUAAGUAAAAAUGCAACAACAAUUCUACUAAGUCCAAUAGAGCCUUAAAUAAACUUCAAGUAAUCCCUGAUAAACCUAUUCGAAUUUUAACCUAUCAAAAUAAAUUUAAAAGAAGUUACAAUAGAAACACAAAGAAUUCUAAAAAAAUAUUAAAAAUAAAAAUCCUAAUAUAAUUGUAAUUUAAAUCCUAAAUCCUAAAUCCAAAACCAAAUCUUGGAUCAAAUCCUAAUUGAAAUCUUAAUUAAAUCUUAACCAAAUUCUAAGUUAAAUCUUAAUAAAAUCCUAAUAAAAUCCUGAAUUCUAGAAAAAUUCUAAAUAAUUUUUAAACAAAAUCUUAAACUAAAUCCUAAUCAAAUCCUAAAUCUUAAAUAAAUUCUUAACAAAUCCUAUAGAAAAAUCGAACCUCAACAACUAAUGAUCAAACUAUUGAUAUCAACUCAAAAUUUGCACACUUCUUAAUGUCUUAGUUAGAAACAAGUACAAGAAAGAUGAAAUCAAUCACAUUCACCAAUUGAGAAAAAUGCAAGAUAAUCCAAUUGGGUAUUGAAUGGCCUCCUAUUCCAACUUAAAUGCUAAAUUUUCAAUGCCAAUAUCUCCUUUUUGAAUCAUUGAAUUGCUUUAAAAUUUCAUCUUAAUAUUUGAAAUCAAUUCUAACAUCCAUACAAAAAAAAAUCACUUUAAUCUAAUUGAUAGAUUGCUAAAGAUCUUAAAAACACUCACUAACCCUCAAACUCCAAUUUUUAAGAUCUCAAUCUACAAAAACCUUCAUUUACUUCAAUUUUACUAUUUGAUUGACCUCAAAAUUUGUAUAUACAUUUACAACUAGCACAUUAAUAUAUUUCUCAAAUUUACUUAUAUACAUACUAUAAAAUUCGAGAAACCCUCAAAUUUAUAAACAUGUUUUUAUUUUUCA